CUAAGGCUCCAGAGGAAGCCACGGCUAACUCUGUGCCAGCAGCCGCGGUAAUACAGAGGCGGCAAGCGUUGUUCGGAAUUAUUGGGCGUAAAGAGCACGUAGGCGGCCUUGCAAGUCAGUUGUGAAGGCCUUCCGCUUAGCGGAAGAAUGCCAGCUGAUACUACAGGGCUUGAGUACGGGAGGGGAGAGUGGAACUUCUGGUGGAGCGGUGAAAUGCGUAGAUAUCAGAAGGAACGCCGGCGGCGAAAGCGACUCUCUGGCCCGAAACUGACGCUGAGUGUGCGAAAGCUAGGGGAGCAAACGGGAUUAGAUACCCCGGUAGUCCUAGCCGUAAA
rnacentral:rRNA from 1 species